UUUUAUUAGUAAAACACCAUAUUUGAACUUUUGGACAUACUAAAUUUUCUUUUGAUUUAUAUUACUUGCAACUUGUAAGUUUCUAGAUUACAGGAUUAUCUGUUGUGUAAGCUUCUUACAUGUUAUAAGAACCAAACAUUUGCGUAAGAAAUACCUCAUUGAUCAGCAGGUGCUUUACUGUAAAUGAAGACUUUUACAGGCUUAAUUUCUUAUACCAAGGAAUCAACAUGCAUAAUGAAACGAGGGUCACAUUCUUCUGAAUGACAAGCAUAUGAAUAUUUGGAUGUAAGAUGAGAAAAUUGUUGCAAGAUUCUACAUGGAGCAACUAAACUAAGUUUUGUUUAGCUCUUAGUUCACCUACUGCCCCUCAUAAAAAAAGAAAAAGAAAAAGGAAAACUGGCCUGAGGCCAAGAUAUUGUUGGCUACCUUUACAUUUUAGAUGGAACCAUUCACCAAUAUUUUAGCAAGAUAAAAACCUGGCCUUUGUUACUCUCUAUUGUUCACUGAACUCUAAUUAGACUUGUAGACAUCACCACUUCAAGUUUGAUAUCUGAAUUCCAUCCACCUAUAUCUGAAUUCCAUCCACCUAUAGUACUCUUAGUUGACAUAAUUCUCAUGACCCAACCAAAUAUUAGUUCACUUGUACCCCAUAUAAGCUU
rnacentral:lncRNA from 1 species